AGCGCGGAGCUCAGAGCCCGGACUGUAGGGGUGAUGCGAAGGGGCGAGAGCUCCUCGAUGUUCUCCAUCAUCACCACCACCACAGCACAAACAGGAUCCACAACUGGCAGGAGAACGAAAUCCGAAGACUGCUGAGGGCACGGCGAGGACUCCGCGGUUUACCGGCGGAUAAACAGCUGCUGGCGAGAGGGUCGUCCGCGGGUCACACAUGCAGGUGAUCAGCAAACUGGAGGCGCUCUGUACCACGAGCAGAAGACUCGCUGCGGGACCGAGCGCGUCGAAGAGCGAAGAGCAGUCAGGGGCGAAGUGGACGUCAGAAAGCUCAACAAGCACCUGGGUCAAUCGGAGGUGGAUGAUGACAAGGACCAGUACAAGCCCCCAGAACACUUGCACACAAUCCGCCCCCAACACACAAUUCCAUCAGAGAGAAGGAAAACGCCGGUGAUGGAGGAAGUCUCCACAUCAGUGUUGGCGAUGGUCGCCCAGAUCAGAGAGAUUGAUGCCUGUUUGCAGAGGUUAAAGGAGCACGAGAGGGAAAUGCAGAACAGUCUCAUGAGCCAGUUCAUAGCCAUGAAUGAAAGAGUAGGACGAGACACCUCAAACUUGUGGAAAGACUACUGUCCAAGUUUCCUUUGCCUUUGGCUCCUUCAGGCUGCUGACUGACUCGUUCUUGUGAGAAAUGACACUUGUGAUAAAGUUUUCCACCAGCUGUCCAGUGCCUCAGCCCAAAUUAACCUCAACUCUGUUCAGUUGUAGCUACUACUGAUCCAGGUCAUGUUCACACUUUUGUUUUUUGUGAAUAGAUUUCAGUCAUUAGUUAACCAGUUCAUAACAAGGACCUAUAAACUAGCAGCGGUGCUAGAAAAGCAUAAAUGCAGACAAAUGACAACAAAAGACUAAUUUGAAUGAAACAAGAAGCUUUUAGAUGCACACUGUAAUUCAGUUUUAUCGUAAUAGCAAAGCAAACGUGGAAAAUGAAUAGCUGGUCUUUCUGGUUCUGCCUUUGCUUUUUGAUAACAAGGCCUACUGUGGAAGACUGAAUAGAGUGGCUUUCUUUGUGUCAAAGAGUGCUGUGUGUUUUCUUUUCUUUUAAAUUUCCCUGAGCGCUCUCACCUUCUGUGUAGCUGUGUGUAACUCAGAUUUUCAUCUUGCCUAUGAAUGACUGUAAGCAAGAAAGAAAAUGCAGUAGGCAUGUUUGGCUUUUCUGAAAAUUCUUUUCUAUAGAAAUGCGGGUUGUUGUGAUCUACAUUCCUCUUCACUCUCAGUGCUUUUGAACCUUUAAAGCUUCACCAUCAUGCUUCUGGGAAACGGAUCUGAGUUGUGUGAGUCUGAAAAUCUGCGUUUGGUGGAUUAAUACCUGCAGCGUGAACAUAAAAUAGAAGAUAGCUGAGUUAGUCUAGCGUCUGACACGCGGGUGGGUGUAUUUCUCCACCAUCAAAGCCGGACAUGUUUGAGUGAACACUGACAUGUAACACAAAGUAGGAGUACGCUCAGCUCCAGAUCUUAAACAUGCAUCGCGUGCCCGGUCUUGACAAAUAUGAAAACAAACAGAAUACAGGCACCAGACAAGAAUCAUUCAUCUUACUUACCAAAUAUUGAGAGCAUAUUUCGGCUGAGACGUCAUCAGGAUGGUCUGAUGCAUAAUAAGAUGAGAUAAUAUUUUAAAAUAUAGUAUAAUAAUUAUAUAGAAAUAUGUGGUGAGGUCCAAUCACCAAUCAACAAAGAGGACACACUGGCACGAUAGAAAGCAGGCUAACCACCCAGAUGAGAAAACUGUCAUAAAAGAACAAAACAAAAAACAUCACGUCACCAUCCACAGUUAAAUACAACAAUAAGCUAUAGCAGAAUAAAAAAUCUAAUCAACUUGUAUGAAGCUUUAUCCCAAUAUGUUUGUCUUUUUUUUGAACCGACCAAAACAGAAUCUCUUAUGAAGCCAAAUAUGUGCUCUGCUUGUUGAAAGGUUUCACCCUCUUUUACAGGGUCGGUGAUGGCAGGUGUGGACUCGUGCACUAAACACAGGACCUGCUGUUCAGUCAUUUCCUGUGAUCUUGUGGAACUGUAGAAUUACAGGUCGUCCUCUGUAGGUGAUGCUGUUCGGCAUAAUUGAGGGCAGUUUUUUCCUCACUCUUAUAGAUUAAGCAGGCUUGAAAAGGCAGAUAAUUGUAUUGAUUACAUGGUUUAUGUUUUCCUUUAUUUGAUUAGGUGUUGUAAGAUGUUAUAUCUGCAGAGUCUUCUUUCAUGAUGAUUUCCUCACGGCUGCCUUUGCCUGCUGUCUUCUUUGUGCCGUGCAGCCGAGUGUCGUCUUUGAUGAUUGGUGUUUUGGACCUCUCCUAGUUUAUGUGCAUUUUGCCAAUGAAGGCUCCAAGCCCAGACACAUGGGCCUUACCCAACAAUGGAUAUUAAGAAGAACACGUAUGCAUAUCGUGUGCUGGUUUGUGGAAACAGUGGGCCGCACUCAUUUGUAAAAGCAGAACAAAUCGCAGCUGCUGCUUUGUGAUGUGUUUGGAGGAAAUGGUAAAAGUUUGUAAUGUGAUUCGACAGUUACAGGACAACUGGGUUGUCACGAGCUUUCCGAGAAAGCAUUGUUGUCAUACAUAAACCAGGCAGUAGUUCCA